CGCGCGCCCAACCCCGCGCCCCGCACCCUGGCAACGCAGCGGGGGUCUCGUGGGUCCCUGGAGCUCCCGGGACUGGCGGUCACGCCGUGAGAACAGUGCGCCCUGGGGGGCGGGACGGGCUGGGGCUUCCACGCGAUGUAGGAAAAGGGCGGCUUGCCCGGCGCGGACUUAGGCCGGAGCCUGGUGGUGCGAGGUCCCUGGCUCGGAUUUCUCCCGAACCAACCGGCCGAGGCCCUAGGAAGGGCCCUCCUGAGCACGUGGCUCGUUCAUUCAUUCGACAAACAUUACCUGAGCACCCGCCCACCCAUUGCCCGAGUGUGCUGGGAGCGCCGCACCGGCCGGCUGGCAGGUGGGAAAAGGGACGCCUCGGGUAACAGCACGGGUGCAGGGCCUGUGUGCUGAUGGAGAAGACCCUGAUGAAGUAGGAAAGAGAAGGGGAGCCCAGCCAUUGAGGUAAGCAGGGGCUGGGGUACAGAGUCUCAGGGGCCCUCACUGAAUUGGGAGGAAACUCCAGAGUGGGGGCCCCAGAAGCCAAGAGCAGGGGUCUUCCCCACGGGAGCAGGAGGGAGAGUUGGUUUGGGUUCAGACAAGCCUCUGUCCUUGGCAACAGUGUUCCUGUGUGGCCGACAGCUCUGGGCACUUGCCCUUCAGCCUUCCAGAUCCUCCAUCCGGAUUGGGCUAGAUUCUGCUUAAAGUUCUUGCCACAGAGACAUUAACGUGGAAUUGUGGCCAGGUCCCCAGGAUCACCCUGCACACCUCUGACCAGGACCUCCACUUCUAGCGAUGGCCUCAAGGAAGAUUUAUUUACGGGGAACCAGAGUCCAAUGGCCCCUGAGUUCCCGGCCAUGCUGCGGGGUUUCUUUUUCUAAGCCCCCCUCAUUCUCUCUGUAUUCCUUUGCUUUCCAAUGGCUUUGGCUUUUUUGUCGUCUUCUAAAGAGCUCUGCUUUGUUCUUGGGCCCACUUACCCGUCUCCGAUUCUUGCUUGUUUCUUUCCCUCUGCCUGGCAUGACUCAUGCCACCCCCUGGCUGGGUUUGGUUUCUUCUUGGUUACAUGAGCAGAUCCUUUAAGCCAUGAAGCGCAGUGACUCAGCUGCAUCCCUGGGGAUUGAAAUCGUUAAGAUGGGCUUUCUUUUGGAGCACUGUGCCAUCUUUAAGCAUUUAUGAAGCACUUUCCCCAGGCUGUGGUUGCAAAGAGGCUGAGGACUACAAGACCGGCUUUGGGCAGACAGGUGAGGGUUCCACUCUGCCCUUCUUAGUAGUGGGAUGUUUGGUAAGUGGCAUAACCUUUCUCACAUGGGGCCCCUGUGGAUGGUUGCACAGGCUGCGCACUGCACAACCCUAGGAGGCUCUAUUCAGAUAGAAAUCCACAUGAAUAGAAUGCCCUGUGGACGUGCUGCGCGUGAGACCGACAGCUCACAUGCUACUGCAUGUGAUCCUCUGGGUCUGUUUUCGUCUCUGUAAAACUGAUUUGAUCACACACCAUUAGAAUUGUUGGGGAAAUGAUUAUCCAUGUAAACUUCCUGAUCUCGGCUUAGGGUAUCGGUCAAGUGUGUGGCAAUGUUGUGUGACUGGAUGCUGAGAGGUGUAGGAGUGGCCUUUGUCCUUAGUCAGGUUUAUUGUGUUGUUUGAGAGGAAGACAAACCCCCUAAAAAUAAACCCUGGGAGGUGUGUGGACCUUGGCCAGACCCCAUAAGCGCCCCAUGUACCCACCACCUUUAGCACUCCAGUGCUCGCCAGCCAGCCUCCCAGGGCCUGCAUGGGGUUUUUUUGGAAUGAGGGAUUCUGCUUACCACCCGUAUAGCAGGUCAGAAAUACCAGGGAAUUAAAGGCCUUUGGGAGCAGAUUCAGCUGGCACAUAAACACCUCUGCUCCCUGGUCCUUCAGUGGGAUAACUCAGAGGUAGGUAUUCUACACUGGCUCCUGGAGUUCCCAGCAGGACAAUGCUCCAUGUCAUGGGGAGCUGGCUGAUGAAUUCCUUUUCCUGUCUCAGUUCUCCACCCUCUUGCAGCAUACCUGGAGCCUCCUGGGCAGCUUCUUGCAUUUCAAUUCCAGUCUUUUUGUUUUGUUUUUGAAAUGAGAGUCUCGCUCUAUCGCCCAGGCUGGAAUGCAGUGGUGCUAUCUCAGCUCACUGCAACCUCCACCUCCCGGGUUCAAGUGAUUCUUGUGCCUCAGCCUCCCGAGUAGCUGAGGGUACAGGCAUGUGCUACCACUCCUGGCUAAUUUUUGUAUUUUUGGUAGAUAAGAGGUUUCACCAUCUUGGCCAGGUUCAUCUCGAACUUCUGAUCUUAGGUAAUCUGUCUGCCUUGGCCUCCCAAUGUACUGGAAUUACGGAUGUGAGCCAUUGUGUCUGGCCUAAUUUCAGUCUUAAGAUUGGUUUCUUAAGAAGCCAGACAGCGACACGGGGCUGUGCUCCUUUAGAGCUCCAGGUGCAUUCCCACCAUGCAAUCUGCAGUCUUGUUGCAGACUGAUUGACCUGUUUGCUUCCCUCCUGAACCUGAGUGCCAAGCCCAUGUCUUCUCUGACAUGAAAGCCCCAGUGCCCAGCACAGUGCCUGACCUGAAAUGGGACCCACAGAAAAUCUGCUGAACGCUCCUGCAGUGUGGGUUUCACCCACAUAGCGUAUCUCCAGGGUUAAAAUAAUUGAAGUGAGUAUAUUUUCCCCAGUAUCUACUUUCCAACACACUUGAUCUUUUUCAUUGCAAGUUUAAUGAGUGAUCAUUAAAAACUAAGCCUAUAAAUUUCAGGUAGAUUUCAUCACAGACCCUGGAGAAGAGGCAGGUGGAGGAUUCUUGCCAAGGCACUGCCUUCUUGCUCUCUGAAAGGACACAGAUGCCUGAGCUACCAGAUCAGGACGCUGUCUCUGCAUGGCCCACAUUUCUCUGGAGUGUGUGGGAAUGGACGUGGGGUAGGAGUCAACCUUCCCUGGCGGCAGCAGCUGCUUAGCGUCCCUUGGGCAUCCUGCGUGCAGUGUGUUCGGCCUCACUGCCAGAAGCUGUCAUCUUGGGGAAGGGACCAGAGCAAUAUGCCAGGGAGAAUCUCAGAACCAAGGUGACACAAAAGAGAUGAGAUCUUGCUCCAUUGCCCAGGCUGGUCUCGAACUCCUGGCCUCAAAUGAUCCUGCUGUCUUGGCCUCCCAAAGUGCUGGGAUUACAGGUCCAAAGCUCAAGCACUGAGAACAGUCAACAGCUGCCAGAUGCUCCAGAGGAGGAGGAAGGCCCAGGGACGAGGCCUGGCUUCAGUAGCUCUUCAGCCUCUUCCUUCUUCCUGCCCUCCAAGGCUGCCUCUGCUCCUGCAUCCCAAACCUCAGCCCUGUAAUUACCACUUGCCAUCCUGUCUCCAGUCCAUCCUUCACCGUGACACAUCCUGAAGCCUCUUAGACACUUUUAUCAUCACAGGAGCAGGCAGUGUCCAUGGGAGACUCAGCUGCCCCCGACCCUCCAAAAUGUACCAUUUUAAGUGCACAUUCCAGUACCAUUAAGUAUAUCCACAUUGUGAUGCAGUCAAUCUCCAGAACUUUUUCAUCUUGCAAAGCUGCAAUUCUAUACCCAUUAAACAACAUUAACCCUCCCCGCAGGCCCUGGCGACCAUCAUUCUGCUUUCUGCCUUUAUGAAUCUGACUCCUCUAGGGACUUCCUAUCAGUGGAAUCACACAGGAUUUGUCCUGUUGGGAGUGACUUAUUUCAUUUAACAUCAUGUCUUCAGGGUUCAUUUGUGCUGUAGCAGCCAUCAGCAUUUCCGUCCUUUCUACAGCUGAAUAAUGUUCCAUCACAUGGAUAGACCACAUUGUACAUACUCAUUUAUCUGUUGAUGGACACCUCUUGUGCUGCUAUGAACAUGGGUGUAGAAGAUGGGUUGGUUUUUAAACAAUGAAUCUUGAAGAAGUAGGGUUUCACUGGCAGGGCAGGGGAAAGCAGGGACCAGGGAACACACCACAGCAUGUGCAAAGGCCCUGGGUCAUGCUGACUUGGUGGGCUUGGGCAUGGCAUGGGGUUCUAUGUCACUGGGUUUCGGGCAUGUGGUUCAGAGUCAAGGGAGAUGAGGCUGGACAGCAGACUGAGUGGGAUCACAACAGGCCUGUGUGACACAGAGAGGGCCCCCAGCCACAUCAUUAUGUGAAGAUGGUAAUUAGAUGUCAUAUUUCCUGGGAGUGGACCACAUUAAAAUUGUCCUCAGUCUCAAUGGAGUAAACAAAAGGAAAUGGUUUGCUCACCAGUCAGAGGGACCCAGUCAAGCAUCUGGUCUGUUGGGCUGAUUAUAAAGCCAGUCCGAACCCAAAGCAGGAUUCAGCACCAAAUCCUACUAUGUCACUGGUAACACGCCCUUUGGAGUGCUAAGAAUUCCUGAGAAUUGGGACUGAGUCUAAUUCGAAUCGUUUUUUGGUCUUAAAUGAGUUACUUACACCCCCUGAAUCUCAGUGUUUUUAUUUGUCACAUGAACAAAUGAUUCACUUUUAAGAAUCCUUAAAGUGGCCGGGUGCGGUGGCUCAAGCCUGUAAUCCCAGCACUUUGGGAGGCCGAGGCGGGUGGAUCACGAGGUCAUGAGAUCGAGACCAUCCUGGUCAACAUGGUGAAACCCCGUCUCUACUAAAGAUACAAAAAAUUAGCUGGGCAUGGUGGCACGUGCCUGUAAUCCCAGCUACUCGGGAGGCUGAGGCAGGAGAAUUGCCUGAACCCAGGAGGCGGAGGUUGCCGUGAGCCGAGAUCGCGCCAUUGCACUCCAGCCUGGGUAACAAGAGUGAAACUCCGUCUCUAAAAAAAAAAAAAGAAUCCUUAAAGCUUCCCCAGAGUCCAUGCACUUAUAAAUUCUAUCAAUGCUGGUGUUAAAUAUGCUGCUAUUCUCCCCCGUUACUCUGUGGGAAUAUAAUUCUACAAAUCGCUGGCCUUAGACAAAUUGUUUAACCUCUCUCUGUGCCUUCGUCUGAAUCAUUAUCUGUAAAAUAGGGUUGUUAGGAAUAAUACCUUCCCUUUUUUUCUCCUGCAGGUCGCUGUGUGUAUCCGUAUGGAAAUUGGGAAAGAAAGCAUUCCGAGCAAGGUGUUCCUGUUCCCCUAACAUUUCAUUGCAUCAGGCCGUUCUCUCCACCUCUCCAAUAUCAACACUCAAUGCGUAUCUUCCUGAGCUCUUUUCUCCAAAGUUCUUGACCUUCCUCAGGGCCCAGCGUCUCUCUUGACUCUUGCAGAAUAGUGUCUUCUUGGUCAUCCAUGUGUUGGGCUGGUCAGAUCGGAAACAGGUGAGCGAGACCCCCUUUACCUCCACAGCCUGCCUUCAGGUACCCUGGCCCAGUCACAGCAGGUGGGAUGUGCACACCCUUCCCGCCUUGGCUCAUCCCUUUCUCUUCUUGGGGAGCGCCUUCCCACCUGUGGCCACCAGAGUCCUUCCAUCCUUCAAGGUUCCUGUCAAAUGUCCCACCCCCAUGACAGCUGACUGCAAUCGCCUCUUCUCACCCAGGUAGAACAUUUCUCCCCACUUUGAUUGACAUCUGCUUACAACGUGGCAUCUUUCAAUUUGGCAUCGUCCUCUCCCAACAGAUAUUAGUGGACAGAUUAGACAUGUAUGUGUCUGUUCUGUAUGUGGGGCAUCUGUGGUUUUCAUCAGAUUCCCAAAUUGUCUGCAACAAGAAGUGAAUAUUGGCCAGUACUUUGGGAGGCCGAGGUGGGCAGAGCACGAGGUCAGGAGUUCGAGAUCAGUCUGGCCAACAUAGUGAAACUAUGCCCCUACUAAAAACCAUGCCUCAACUAAAAAUACAGAAAAAUUAGCCAGGCGUGGUGGUAUACACCCGUAAUACCAGCUACUUGGGAGGCUGAGGCAGGAGGGUAGUAUGAACCUGGGAGGCAGAAGUUGCAGUGAGCCAAGAUUGCAGCACUGCACUGCAGCCUGGGCAGCAGUACGAGACUCUGCCUCAAAAAAAAAAAAAAAAAAAAAAAAAAAAUGAAUGUUAAGGGCUACUGAAUUAUAAAAUUAAUGUAAAAACUGAAAUCAGGAAGAACUAAGAAAACACAGCAUUUAUCUAAGCUCUGUGGUGAGGAGCUCUAAGCAUAAUAGGACACGAUUAGAACACAGAGAAUAUAAGAGGGUUGGCUUUCUAAAAAUCAGUAUUGUAUAUUAAAAAAAUAGCCAAGUUAACCUAAAAGUUGAUAUAAUAAGGUAAAUUUUCUUUUUGAUAUUGUGAUAGUUUUCCACUACUGUCACUACAAACUACUACAAAAUUAAUGGCUUAAAACAGCACAAGUGUAUCGUCUGACAGUUUUGUAAGACAGAACCCCAAAAUGGGCCCCAGUAGGCCAGAAUCAAGGUUUUGGCAAGACUGCAUUUCUUCUGGACGUUCCAGGGAGAAUCUGCCUUCUUCACUUUUCCAGUUUUCUGUUUCUAGAAGCUCCUUUCAUUGCUUGACUCUUGGGUCCUCCCUCCUCCCAUUUCCAAAGCUAGAGCGCUCAGCUGGGUCUUUGUCACAUUCCAUCAUCCUGCCCAUGACUCUUCUGCCGCCCUCUUCCACACAUAGGGACCCUUUCAGUUUCUAAGGGCAGCCACACUAGUAAAGCACCACACACUGGCCAGGUCGGGGGGCUCAUGCCUGUAAUCCCAGCACUUUGGGAGGCCGAGGCUGGUGGAUCACUGGAGGUCAGGAGUUUGAGACCAGUCUGGCCAACAUGGCAAAACCAUGUCUCUACUAAAAAUUCAAAAAUUAGCCAGGUGUGGUGGCGCAUGCCUGUAAUCCCAGCUAUUAGGGAGGCUGAGGCAGGAGAAUCACAUGAACCUGGGAGGCAGAGGUUGCAGUAAGCCAAGAUCACACCACUGCACUCCAGCCUGGGUGACAAGAGCAAGACUCUGUCUCAGGAAGAAAAAAAAAGUACCACAAACUGAGUGGCUUACAAGCUUAUUCUCAUAGCUCAGGAGGCUGGAAUCCUGAAAUCUAAGUGUCAGCAGGGGAGGUCCUACCAGAGGCUUGGGUGGCCUACUCCUAGCUUCUGGUGGCUUUCAGCAAUCCUUGGCUUGUAGCAGCAAAAUGCAAUCUCUGCCUCUGUUGUUGCCUGACGUUCUCUCUAUGUGUCUAUGUGUGUCUGUGUCUCUUGUUUUCUCUUCUGAUAAGGACAGCAGUCAUUGGAUUAGGGCCCACCCGAAUGCACAUUACCUCAUCUUAUUUUAACUAAUUAUGUUUCCAAAGAUUUUAUUUCCGCAUAGGGUCAUAUUCUGAGGCUCCAGUGGACAUGCAUUCUGGGGAACGCUAUUUAACUCAGUGCACUUGUGACUACGUUGGGCCCCCCUGGAUAAUCCAGGAAAAUCUCCCUAUUUUUAAAAUCAGCUGAUUAGCAACUGUGUUAUUCCAUUUUGUGUUGCUAUAAAUACACACCUGAGGCUGGGUCUAUUAUAAAGAAGAGAGGUUCAUCUGGCUCACAGUUCUGUAGCCUGUGUAAGGAGCAUGGUGCCUACAUCUGCUUCUGAUGAGGACCUCAGAAAGCUUCCAGUCAUAGUGGAAGGUGAAGGAGCAGGCAUAUCACAUGGUGAGAAAGGAGCAAGAGUGGGAGAGAGGGGUGCCAUGAUGCUCUUUCAAACAACUAGCUCUUGCAUGAACUAGUGGAGCAAGAACUCACUCAUUACUGCAAGGGCAGCACCAAGCCAUUUAUGAGGGAUCUGUCCCCAUGACCCAAACACCUCCCACUGGGCCCAUCUUCAACACUAGUGAUCACAUUUUAAUGCAAUUUGGAAGGGAUAAACAUCCAAACUAUCUGAGUCACCUUCAUGUAAUUUACAACUGCAAUUCCCCCUUGCCACAUAACACAUUCACCAUAUGUGAGGUUUAGAUGUGGACACCAUUGGGUGGGGAGGGGCCAUUAUUAUGUCUAACACAGACAUAAAAAAGGCUCCAGAGCUCAGAUGAUCCAGUUUAGAUCACGCCACUGCUGGCCGCUGGACUGUCCACAGAAGAAUUUGAGGGAGACCCUAGGAGGCCCAUGUGCCCCUGGUAAGACCAUACUCUCAGCUGCCUCCACAACCUGCCCACCUUAUCUCUACAAAAAUGCCUAGGAAUUCAGGUCAAGAAGGAGGCUGUAAUUAGAACUGGAUUUCUCUGCCCUGCACCUUCACGGAGACCUCAGUGUCCACAUAAAUGACUUCUGACACCAGGGCCCCUCAGCUGCUUCGUCUUUCCACAUCCACCAUCUCCAUCUUUUCCUUCUACUCCCCUCAUCCACAUCCUCUCGGUUUUUGUUAUACGAUCAUGUGAAGAGUUGGUUUUGGCUUUGCUUGUUGAGGCAGGGUCUCACUGUGUUGCCCAGGCUGGAGUGCAGUGGCUGUUCACAGGCAUGGUCGUAGCACACAACAGCCUUGAACUCCUGGGCUCAAGCUGUCUUCCUGCCGCAGCCUCGUGAGUAGCUGGGAUUAUAGGUGUGCAGCAUCUGUACCGAUACCCAGAAAUAGAUUCUGACUUAAAGAAUCUGGGGAGGUCCCAGGCCAUCAGUAUUGUCAGAACCAUCGUGGGCUAUUUCUAAUGCGCAGCCAGGGAUCGGAGUCACUGCCUGGCCCAUUGCUGGGAGCCUCCAAAGUCUUUAUUUUAGUCUUUAGCUGGCACCACCUAGUUUCCAGCUUCCUUCCUGCAACACUCCCAGUGCCCCGCCAGGACUAACACUGCACCGAAUCCUCUAUAUAGUCAUUGUUCAUUCAUAAAGUCCUUUAAUCCCUGCCUGAAACCCAUGAGCCACUGUCCCUACUUCACACAUGCUCCCGUUGGGGGGUUUUGAGCACAGGCAUGACAUGAUAUGAUUUUAAAAGUUAAAGAUUAUUCCAGCUUCUAUAUGGGAAAAAGACUGUGGAGCAGGACUGGAAGCCGGGAGACUGGUAAUCCAGCUAACCUGGAGGUGCCUCCAGUAGCCCAGGAAAGAGGGGACAGGGGGAGGAGAACCGCAGCAAUGGAAGACGUCAGGCUAGGGAUGUACCUUCAAGACCUGCUAAUGGAGCUGGCUUAGUUUAGAGAGAAAGAGCAGAGUCAAGAUGAAUUUGUACUUUUUGCCUGAGCAUCUGGGUGUGCUGCACCCUUAACAGAGGUGUGAAUAGCACGCUGAGCAGGUGGAGGUAGAGGAACCUUAGAUUCAGCAUUGGAUAUAUCAAAUCAGAGAGGCCUAGUAGAGUCCAAGGGCAGAUGUCAAAUGGGCAAUUGUGCCAAUGAGUCUGGAAGCUCAGAGGAGAGGUUGAGACUGGGAAUAAGGAUUUGAGUGUCCUCAGUAAAUAUGUGAUGUCUUAGAACCAGAUGAGGUCAUCCAGCGAGUCAUGCAGAUGAAGUAUGUCCUGGGAUAUUUGUUUAAUGGUCAAGAGGCAGGGAAGGGUUGAGUAAGAGGGACUGAGAAGGAACAGCCGUGAGUAAAGGGGAAACCAGAGAAUUCUGGCAUCCCCAAUGCUGAAGAGUUUCAUGAAGAUAAUGACCAACUGAUCCAGUGUAGCAGAUGUUGGAUCACAGCAGGUUCAAGGCUUGCCUGCUGAGUGUGGCACCAUGGAGGUCACUGUGACCUCAGCAAGUGCAGGACUCUGGUGGCAUAAAAGUCCGUCACCAGUGUGGGCACAGAGAGAAAGGACACGGGAUUGAUCGGCAGGAUACUGGCCCUCCAAAAAUGUUCACAUCCAAACCCCCAGGGCCUGUCUGUUAGCUUACAUGGCAAAAAAGGUCAUUGCCCAUGGGAUGAAAUUCAGGAUCUUGUGAUGGGGAUGUGUACUGGAUAAUCCAGGUGAGCCCAAGGUAAUUUCAAGAACCUUAACAAGAGAGGCAGAAAAGUCAGAGUUGGAGAGAGACUAGAAUGUGAUCCACUGUUGACUUUGAGAUGUGGUCAUGAACCAGCGGCUGUGAAGAGGUGAUGGCAAUGUGGGCAGCCUGUGGAGGUGCAAGUGACUGGGAGACAGCUUCUUCCUGGAGCCUCCAGGAGGCGUGCAGCCCUGCCCUGCCUGGAUUCUACCCAGUAAAACCCAUUUUGGACCUCUGACCUCCAGAACUGUAAGGUAAUGAAUGUUGUUUAUGCUGUUUGAAGCCUCUAGGUGUGUGGUGAUUUGCUGUGGCAGCACCAGGGAAGGAAUCUGGGAGAUGAAUGGCACAUUUGCGUGGUGCUGGGGACCAUCCAGAUCCAGCAGAGCAAAAAACACUGAAGAUGCAGGGGAGGAAGGGUAGAACUGGAAGAGCCGCCUCCUGCAGGAGGCAAGAGAGUGGGGACCUGGACCCAGGUGGAAGGGUUGCCCUGGUGCAAGGCAGGAGGCCGAACAAUGUGUGGGGUCCAGAGGAAGGUAGGUUGUGGGGUUAGUCGGUCAAAAGAGAUAAGAAAAUCCCCUUCUGAUGGCUUUGGUGCCUUCUGUGAAAUAAACGGGGAAGGUUUUCAGUAGAGAUGAAGAGGAGGAGGGAAGAAGAGAAAGCCAAGUUGUAAAAAGCUCAGUUCAAAAAAACUGAGUUAAGGCCAGACAUGGUGGCUCACGCCUGUAUUCCCAGCACAUAAGGAGGCCAAGGCAGGCGGAUCACAAGGUCAGGAGUUCGAGACCAGCCUGGCCAACAUGGUGAAACCCCAUCUCUAGUAAAAAUACAAAAAUCAACUGGGUUUGGUGGUGGGUACCUGUAGUCCCAGCUGCUCAGGGGAGGCUGAGGCAGGAGAAUCACUUGAACCCAGGAGGCAGAGGUUGAAGUGAGCUGAGAUUGCGCCAUUGCACUCCAGCCUGGGCGACAGAGUGAGACUCUGUCUCAAAAAAACAAAACAAAAAAUGGAGUUGAACAAUUCUACUUCCUGUAAUUUUUUCGAAAGGAAUAAUCAGGGAGAUGCACAAGGUUGUAUCUGUGAAAAUGUGCCUUACCACAUUGUUUAAGAUCGUGAAAAAUUGGGAACAGGCAAAACGGCAGACGAGAGGCUUCUCAUUGAAGAAGUUGUGUUAUAUGCGUGAUGAAUCACACUGCAGCCAAUAUAAACCAUGCUUUAGAAGACCAUUUAAUUAAAUAUGAAAAUGUACGAUCUUGUUAAGGGAAUGUGGCUACAAAACAAAUAUGUACAGAAUGAAAGCAAUUUUGCAGAAAUAGUGUGUGUAAAUAUGUACGUUUAAAAAGACUAAGGAAACAUGCCUAAAUUUAAAUAAUAAUUAUCUUUGGGUGAGGGAAUUACAGCUUCUUACUUGUCUGCAUUUUUAUAUUAAAUAGAAAUGAUUUUUUUAUUAUGAGUCCCCUUUGUGUGUGGAAAGAGUAAAAAGUCAGGAAGGAAUGGAUUCAGAAAGUAACAUUGGUCAAUUCACUACUCAGAGCUCCAUAUGUAGGUUAUUUAAUGAGCAAAACAACCCAGAGAAGGAGGCAUGACAUUUACACAUGACUAAUGAGGACAUUAAGACUCAAAAACCUAAGUUACUCCUUGAAUAUAACCUGUAAUGAGAAUCAAAUCCAGUUUCUCUUCCUCCGUUGUGUCACAUGUUUCCACAUGCUCAGUGUUCUGCCAACAAACUCAAGGGACACAGAUAUGACAGACACCACACCCUUGUCCCUCCUGAAAGGUAAGGACUCAGUGAAGGUGGACACUGGCCACAUCCCAGUCCUGUUGCUAUGAUAGGACACUCACAUUGGUAAAAACGCUGCAAAGGAGCUGGGUGCUGUGGCUCAUGCCUCAAUCCCAGAUCUUUGGGAGGCCGAGGCAGGUAGAUUCACCUGAGGUCAGGAGUUUGAGACCAGCCUGACCAACAUGGAGAAACCCCGUCUACUAAAGAUGCAAAAUUAUCUGGGCAUGGUGGCUCAUGCCUGUAAUCCCAGCUACUCAGUGGCUGAGGCAGGAGAAGUGCUUGAACCCGGAAGGCAGAGGUUGUGGUGAGCCAAGAUGGCGCCAUUACACUCCAGCCUGGGCAACAAGAGCGAAACUCCAUCUCAGAAAAACAAAAAACAAAACAAUAAACAACAACAACAAAAUACUGCAAAGGAAAACAUACAUACACACACAUACACGCACACACACACAAGUGACAUUAAAGGUUGUCAGACAUGAAGCCACACCUGGUCUUGUUUGCUACACCCUAGGGGAAAGGAUUCUCUCCCUAUGAUGGUUGGAGUCUCUUGUGGAUUGAAUUGUGGCCCCCAAAGAGAUAUGUUCAAGUUACAAUCCCGGUACUGGUCGAUAUGACCUUAUUUUAGAAAUAGGGCCUUUGCAGAUCUCAUUAAGAUGAGGUCACACUGGGUUAGGAUGGGCCUUAACUCAUUGGUCUCCAGCUUUUCGGCACCAGGGACCAGUGUCUUGGAAGAUAAUCUUUCCAUGAAAUGGGGACGAGGGGGGUGGUUUUGGGAUGAGUCAAGUGCAUUGCAUUGAUCGUGCACUUUAUUUCUGUUAUUAUCACAUUGUAAUACAUAAUGAAGUAAUUCUACAACCCACCAUAAUGUAGAAUCAGUGGGAGCCCUGAGCUUGUGUUCCUGCAACUAGAUGAUCCCAUCUGGGGUGAUGGGAGACGGUGGCAGAUCAUCAGGCAUUAGAUUCUCAUAAGGAGCGUGCACCUAGAUCCCUCACACACACAGUUUGCAAUAGGCGUCGAGCUCCUAUGAGAAUCUAAUGCUGCUGUUGAUCUGACACAAGGCAGAGCUCAGGUAGUAAUGCGAGAGAUAGAGAGUGGCUAUAAAUACGGAUGAGGUUUUGCUCACUUGCCCACCACUCACCUGCUGUGUGGCCUGGUUUCUAACAGGCCACAGACCGAUACUGGGUUGGGGACCCCUCCCCUAAUCCAGCGACCCAAUGACUGGUGUUCUAAUAAGAAGAGGGAAACUUGGAAACAGAGACUCAGAGAGACACAGAGAGGAGAAGGCCACGUGAAGACAAAGGCAGAGGUAGAAGGGAUGCGACCACAAGCCAAGGAGUGCCAAGGACUGCCAGCAACCAGCAGAAGCUAGAAGGAUGGUAUAGAACAGAUUCUCCCUCUGAGUCCCCAAGAAGGAACCAACCUGCUGGCCUCUUGCUUUCAGACUUCUGACCUCCAGAACCAUGAGAGAACCAAUUUUUGUUCUUUGAAGCCACCCAGUUUGCAAAACUUUAAGAAGCCCUAGGAAACUAAUAAAGGGUCAUAAGGAAAAGGCUUGGACUUGUGUUUGAAAGGGUUAAUGAGCCUCUGAGGCUGGGUUGCUUCUGAGUGGGGAUCCCCCUUGCACACUCAGGCCUCCUGGCCUGGCCGGCUACCUGGAGGAGUCUCUGGACAGUGCAAAGGCAUUGGUCCCAAGAUUGGAAUUUGGAACUUGGGAUGCUGGCACUAGACUUCUCAUGAGAUUGCUGUGCCUGAUUUUGCAGUGGCCAGGGACCGCUGGACUUAGUAGGGAUGCAGGGAAUGGGUAGAGAGUCAACGUCCUCCACUUAGUGUGUUGCACUCAUUAGUGAGUUAGGAAUGCAUUUGAUUACGGUGAUGGUUUGGGGAACAGUUUCUAACCUAAUGAAUCUGAUAGUCGGGAAAGUCCAGUUAAAUCACUGCUGGUGCAUAUACGUGUAAGUCUUUUAAAGUGAUGGUCCUCAGCGGCACAUCCAGAAGCCACUAACCACAUGUAGCCAACUACAUCUUUUAAAAUGUAUCUUUCAGCCAGGCAUGGUGGCACAUGCGUGUAAUCCUAGCUACUUGGGAGGCUGAGGUGGGAGUACUGCUUGAGCUCAGAAAUUCAAGACCAGCCUGGCCAGCAUAGUGAGAACCUGUCUGAAAAAAAAUUUUAAAUGUUCAAUUUUCAGAUUAGAAUAUUCACUCUUCUUGGUGUACAUUUCCACUGACUCUGACACAUGCGUGGAGUCAGGUCCCUGGCACCGUAACAGAGAUGCAGAAAAGUUCCAUCCCAGCAAAAUAUUCCCCCAUUCCUUUGUAGUCAGCCUUCUGUCAACUCCCAACCCCUGGCAGCCACUCAUCUACUCUUUAUCCUUAUAGUUUUGCCUUUUAAAAUGUAAAUUAAUUAAAAUGAAAAAUUUGGUU